AUGCUAGUUGCGCGGGUUUAGACCCGCGGCAUAUAGCUCAGUAACACGUGGCCAAACUACCCUAUGGACCGGAAUAACCUCGGGAAACUGAGGCUAAUACCUGAUACAGCUCUCAUGUUGGAGUUACAGAGAGCUGGAAACGUUCCGGCGCCGUAGGAUGUGGCUGCGGCCGAUUAGGUAGAUGGUGGGGUAACGGCCCACCAUGCCCAUAAUCGGUACGGGUUAUGACAGUGAGAGCCUGGAGACGGUAUCUGAGACAAGAUACCGGGCCCUACGGGGCGCAGCAGGCGCGAAACCUUUACACUGCACGACAGUGCGAUAAGGGGACUCCGAGUGCGAGGGCAUAUAGCCCUCGCUUUUCUGAACCCUAGGGUGGUUCAGGAACAAGGACUGGGCAAGACCGGUGCCAGCCGCCGCGGUAAUACCGGCAGUCCGAGUGAUGGCCGAUAUUAUUGGGCCUAAAGCGUCCGUAGCCGGCUGGGUAAGUCCGUUGGGAAAUCGACGCGCUCAACGCGUCGGCGUCCAGCGGAAACUGUCCGGCUUGGGGCCAAAAGAUUUGACGGGUACGUCCGGGGUAGGAGUGAAAUCCUGUAAUCCUGGACGGACCACCGGUGGCGAAAGCACCUCAAAAGAAYGGACCCGACGGUGAGGGACGAAAGCUAGGGUCUCGAACCGAUAGAUACCGGUAGUCUAGCGUAACAUGCUCGCUAGUAUGUCGCAGCCAGAGCUGUGUGUGCGUAGGAAGCGAUAAGCGAGCGCUGGAAGUACGUCGCAAGGAUGAACUUAAGGAAUUGCGGGGAGCACCACACCCGGAGGAGCUGCGGUUUAAUUGGACUCAACGCCGGAAAUCUCACCGGUCCCGACAGUAGUAAUGACGGUCAGGUUGACGACUUUACCCGAUGCUACUGAGAGGAGGUGCAUGGCCGCCGUCAGCUCGUACCCGUGAGGGCGUCCUGUUUAA
rnacentral:rRNA from 1 species